GCUCGUCGAGGAGCAGGACGUCGGGGUCGUUGACGAUGGCCUGGGCGAUGCCGACCCGGCGGAUCAUGCCGCCGGAGAGCG
rnacentral:tRNA from 1 species